CCCAGGAUAGUUGGAGAAAGUUAUUAAAAUUCUAAAAACUUUAACCACAGAGUGAAUGUUUUGUUUCCCCGCAGAAAAAACUAAGUCCAUUUAUAGUAAAAUACAGAAAAAAUGGAAUUUUAUUUUUACAAAAUUUACUUCUGGAUACUAUCUUAUGAUCAUAAACAAGCUUCUGUCAAAGUUUGGUAGAAAUCCAGUAUAGUUUAAGAAAGUUAUUAAAAUUUCAAAAACUUUAACCACAGAGUGAAUAUUUGUUGACGCCGCCGACGACGGAAUGUAGGAUCGCUUAGUCUCGCUUUUUCGACUAAAGUCGAAGGCUCGACAAAAAUGACAG
rnacentral:lncRNA from 1 species